rnacentral:lncRNA from 1 species
AUCGAAAAAAAGGGUAAGAACUUUUUUCAAUCCUUCUCCUCAUCUUCCAAAGUCUAUAGGUGCUGGGACUUUGAUCGACAAUCAUCGGAUUUUGGCCAAAUAAGGGGCUCGGAUUGUUUUCCCUAUUUUUUCGUGUUGUUUUGAAUUUUUUUUCAUCCUUUUUGGUCACCGCUGAUCGUCGGAUUUGGGUCGCUGGUCAUCGCUUGAGAUUACCCUCCGACCUUGGGAGGUCAUAGGUUGGGAGGAGACCUCCCCUACCUUGGGAACAAGGGGAUCAAAGGAUCCCCUGUUCUGUGAAAGAAGAAGAAGAGAAGAAGACCACGCGGGUCCCCUCUCCCAUGAGGAAGAAAAGAAAAAAAA